GGGUGGUUAGCUCAGUUGGGAGAGCAUCGCCCUUACAAGGCGAGGGUCACUGGUUCAAGUCCAGUACGACCCACCA
rnacentral:tRNA from 2 species